rnacentral:rRNA from 1 species
UACGGGGGGGGCAAGCGUUGUUCGGAAUUACUGGGCGUAAAGGGCUCGUAGGUGGCCAACUAAGUCAGACGUGAAAUCCCUCAGCUUAACUGGGGAACUGCGUCUGAUACUGGAUGGCUUGAGUUUGGGAGAGGGAUGCGGAAUUCCAGGUGUAGCGGUGAAAUGCGUAGAUAUUCGCAAGAACACCAGUGGCGAAGGCGGCUCACUGGCCCGAUACUGACGCUGAGGCACGAAAGCGUGGGGAGCAAACAGG